GAGGGUGUUGCUCAGAGGCAGAGCGCAUGCUUAUCAUGCAUGAGGUCAUGGGUUCGAUCCCGAGUAUUUUUG
rnacentral:tRNA from 1 species